rnacentral:rRNA from 3 species
CGCGUUACCAAGUGAAUGCGUAGAUAUGGCGGAGGAAACACCGAGUGGCGAAGGUCAGCCUCCCUGGAUAAACACGACGCUCAUGCACGGAAAAGCGUGGGGACAAAACAGGAUUUAGAUACCCCUGGUAGUCCACGCCCUAAACGAUGUCAACUAGCUGUUGGGGCCUUCGGGGCCUUGGUAGCGCAGCUAACGCGUGAAGUUGACCGCCUGGGGAGUACGGUCGCAAGAUUAAAACUCAAAGGAAUUGACGGGGACCCGUACAAGCGGUGGAUGAUGUGGAUUAAUUCGAUGCAACGCGAAAAACCUUACCUACCCUUGACAUGUCUGGAAUGCCGAAGAGAUUUGGCAGUGCUCGCAAGAGAACCGGAACACAGGUGCUGCAUGGCUGUCGUCAGCUCGUGUCGUGAGAUGUUGGGUUAAGUCCCGCAACGAGCGCAACCCUUGUCAUUAGUUGCAACGAAAGGGCACUCUAAUGAGACUGCCGGUGACAAACCGGAGGAAGGUGGGGAUGACGUCAAGUCCUCAUGGCCCUUAUGGGUAGGGCUUCACACGUCAUACAAUGGUCGGGACAGAGGGUCGCCAACCCGCGAGGGGGAGCCAAUCCCAGAAACCCGAUCGUAGUCCGGAUCGCAGUCUGCAACUCGACUGCGUGAACUCGGAAUCGCUAGUAAUCGCGGAUCAGCAUGUCGCGGUGAAUACGUUCCCGGGUUUUGUACACACCGCCCGUCACACCAUGGGAGUGGGUUUUACCAGAAGUAGUUAGCCUAACUGCCAGGGGGGCGAUUACCACGGUAU